rnacentral:snRNA from 1 species
GAAUAUGAGGGCUCUCUAGCUGUAACAUGCAACCCCACUGACCACCAGGAUUGAUUUUACUCAUUUGGUUGGCUAGACGGCGUCCCCUUCCUCCCUCACUGAAAGACCUCUCCCUAAUAGACACAGAAUGUUCUUUGGUCGAGGGUAGACUAGUAGCUGUGCUUCUCUGCUAGAACUUCCACACAAGUUUCAAGAAAGAAAAUAAAGGAACCCAGGAAUGUGACUUAUUGGCAGAGUAAAUGCCACCAUUC